rnacentral:sRNA from 1 species
ACAACAACAAUAACAAAACGUUCCAACCCUAAUAAAAAUAAGACGUACCGACUCCAGCACAAUAAAAACAACAACGCGGAGGCGCAGCUAACUGAUUUUUUUGGAAAGGAAUUGCCGUUGGGGUACGCCCCAUAACCAGGCUGAGAAUAAUAAAACUGCCCCAAGGCAGCGCCAAUACUGGUUAGGUCACACCGUGAUCAUUGCAGCGUCAGCAUCCAAAGCAAUCCGUUUGCUCUUGAUUCCCAGCUUGGGAAGUUUUCCAAAAGUCCUUGACUGGAUGGAACGGGUAAAUCAACAAAAACAACAAGCCCGCCAUAAUAAUAAAAACAGAGCACGCACCAAUUUGGGGGGGAGCUUCGGCUCCCCCAGUAGCUUCAAAUCCCCCGC